rnacentral:rRNA from 1 species
UACGUAGGGUGCGAGCGUUGUCCGGAAUUACUGGGCGUAAAGAGCUCGUAGGCGGUUUGUCGCGUCUGCUGUGAAAACCUAAGGCUCAACCUUGGGCUUGCAGUGGGUACGGGCAGACUAGAGUGCGGUAGGGGUGACUGGAAUUCCUGGUGUAGCGGUGGAAUGCGCAGAUAUCAGGAGGAACACCGAUGGCGAAGGCAGGUCUCUGGGCCACUACUGACGCUGAGAAGCGAAAGCAUGGGGAGCGAACAGG